GACGAACGCUGGCGGCGUGCUUAACACAUGCAAGUCGAACGGAAAGGCCCUGCUUGCAGGGUGCUCGAGUGGCGAACGGGUGAGUAACACGUGGGUGAUCUGCCCCUUACUUUGGGAUAAGCCUGGGAAACUGGGUCUAAUACUGGAUAGGACCAUGCUGUAGGCGGUGUGGUGGAAAGAUUUUUUCGGUAAGGGAUGAGCUCGCGGCCUAUCAGCUUGUUGGUGGGGUAAUGGCCUACCAAGGCGUCGACGGGUAGCCGGCCUGAGAGGGUGGACGGCCACAGUGGGACUGAGAUACGGCCCAGACUCCUACGGGACGCAGCAGUGGGGAAUAUUGCACAAUGGGCGCAAGCCUGAUGCAGCGACGCCGCGUGGGGGAUGACGGCCUUCGGGUUGUAAACUCCUUUCAGCCAUGACGAAGCCUCUUUUGGGGUGACGGCAGUGGUAGAAGAAGCACCGGCUAACUACGUG
rnacentral:rRNA from 1 species